CCUUCGAUAGCUCAGUUGGUAGAGCGGUGGACUGUAGAUUCAUAGGUCGCUGGUUCAAAUCCGGCUCGAAGGA
rnacentral:tRNA from 1 species